rnacentral:rRNA from 1 species
UACGUAGGAUGCGAGCGUUAAUCGGAAUUACUGGGCGUAAAGCGUGCGCAGGCGGUUCGUUGUGUCGGUGGUGAAAGCCCCGGGCUCAACCUGGGAAUGGCAGUGGAAACUAGGGGACUGGAAUCUGGCAGAGGGGGGUGGAAUGCCGCGUGUAGCAGUGAAAUGCGUAGAGAUGCGGCGGAACACCGAUGGCGAAGGCAGCCCCCUGGGCUGAGAUUGACGCUCAGGCACGAAAGCGUGGGGAGCAAACAGG